rnacentral:rRNA from 1 species
AUUGAACGCUGGCGGCAGGCCUAACACAUGCAAGUCGAGCGGCAGCGGGAGGUGCUUGCACCUCGCCGGCGAGCGGCGGACGGGUGAGUAAUGCAUAGGAAUCUGCCCGGUAGUGGGGGAUAACCUGGGGAAACCCAGGCUAAUACCGCAUACGUCCUACGGGGAGAAAGCGGGGGCUCUUCGGACCUCGCGCUAUCGGAUGAGCCUAUGUCGGAUUAGCUGGUUGGUGAGGUAACGGCUCACCAAGGCGACGAUCCGUAGCUGGUCUGAGAGGAUGAUCAGCCCACACUGGGACUGAGACACGGCCCAGACUCCUACGGAGCAGCAGUGGGGAAUAUUGGACAAUGGCGCAAGCCUGAUCCAGCCAUGCCGCGUGUGUGAAGAAGGCUUUCGGGUUGUAAAGCACUUUCAGUGGGGAAGAAGGCCUGUCGGUCAAUACCCGGCAGGAACGACAUCACCCACAGAAGAAGCACCGCUAACUCCGUGCCAGCAGCCGCGGUAAUACGGAGGGUGCGAGCGUUAAUCGGAAUUACUGGGCGUAAAGCGCGCGUAGGUGGCUUGAUAAGCCGGUUGUGAAAAGCCCCGGGCUCAACCUGGGAACGGCAUCCGGAACUGUCAGGCUAGAGUGCAGGAGAGGAAGGUAGAAUUCCCGGUGUAGCGGUGAAAAUGCGUAGAGAUCGGGAGGAAUACCAGUGGCGAAGGCGGCCUUCUGGACUGACACUGACACUGAGGUGCGAAAGCGUGGGUAGCAAACAGGAUUAGAUACCCCUG